AGUGCUCCUGCUGACCUUCCGUGUCUGCAGCCCGGCUUUGGACUGUGGAGAUGCCCUCAGCCUCUACUCAGUGGCUCCAGCCUCAUAUUUGCGUGCUAUACCUUUAACCUCAAGUCCUCUUGCUGCUAACUUAAGCUGCGACUGUCCAGGACCUGCACACACACACACAUGCACGCAUGCACACACACACACACAGAAGCCCAGUUCCCUCUAGCUCCAGCACAGACUCUUAUCUCCAGCCCUGACUGCCGAAACCCUCCAGCCCCAGCUCCAGCCCCUCAGGAGGGGACUGCGUGGGAGGAAUGACUCCAGCAAGCCGGCAGCUGACCCGUCUCCUGCCUGCACGCCUCCCGCUGUGGUCCACUGCCGGUGGUCUUCAGCUCUCUCCUCGUCCCACCCCCAUGGUCUGCUGACAGCCCAGCUCAGUGCAUCCCUGCCAUCUCUGCUCUACCGCUGGUCCUCCCAACAACCAACUUACAGGUUUGGGGGCACACGUGAAGGUUUGACAUAUAGUAAACACAUGUCAUGGUGGUUUGUUGUACAGAUUAUUACAUCACCCAGGGUUUCACUCCCGUCACCCAGACUGGAGUACAAUGGUGCGAUCUCAGCUCACUGCAACCUCUGCCUCCUGGGCUUAAGCGAUUCUCCUGCCUUGGCCUCCCAAGUAGCUGGGAUUACAGGUGCCUGCCACCACUCCUGGCUAAUUUUUGUAUUUUUUGUAAAGGCGGAGUUUCUCCAUGUUGCCCAGGCUAGUCUCAAACUCCUGAGCUCAAGCAAUCCACCCGCCUCGGCCUCCCAAAUAAGUGGAAUUAUAGGUGUGAGCCACCACGCCGGCCCUGAUGUAUCAAUAUUAAAACAUUUUCUUCAGCCUACAAGUUCUUCUUUUUCUUAUUUGGAUGCAAACUAAAACAUUUUGUGGGCCCUUAGAUUGAACAUUCUCAUGGGUCCUGUGCCUCCUGUGCGUCAUGGAGAAGGCAGCCCUGCAUGGCUCUCACAUCCUCUUCCCCCACGCAAAUGCUGCCACCUCCCCAGCCUCCAUCUCCAGCCCGGAGCUCAAGAACAAGUGGUCCAGCCUCCUCUCUUGUUAUCUCGUAUGUGUAACAAGCACAUUACCUUCACCUGCCCCAACCCAACCUCACCUCCCCACAGUCUGCCCCCUUCCCAAGGGCCUAGCCCAAGGAAUGCUCCUCCCCACCACAUCUC
rnacentral:lncRNA from 10 species